AAGGGAAGAGGGCACAAUGGUGCUCUUGGUGUGGCAGGCGGAAACAACAGCUGACAUUUGCGACAUGCCGCA